rnacentral:rRNA from 1 species
UGGGACUGAGACACGGCCCAGACUCCUACGGGAGGCAGCAGUGGGGAAUAUUGCACAAUGGGGGAAACCCUGAUGCAGCCAUGCCGCGUGUGUGAAGAAGGCCUUCGGGUUGUAAAGCACUUUCAGUUGUGAGGAAAAGUUAGUAGUUAAUACCUGCUAGCCGUGACGUUAACAACAGAAGAAGCACCGGCUAACUCCGUGCCAGCAGCCGCGGUAAUACGGAGGGUGCGAGCGUUAAUCGGAAUUACUGGGCGUAAAGCGCACGCAGGCGGUUUGUUAAGCUAAAUGUGAAAGCCCCGGGCUCAACCUGGGAUGGUCAUUUAGAACUGGCAGACU